UGAAACAAUAUGACAAAAUUUGGGUUUUUCAGAGACAAUUUCGGUAGUUUGGCAACGUUGCUAGUGGUUUUAGCGCAAGACAUUUGACAAAUGACUGAUUGUAAACACUGAACCCUGAGAUCUUGAUCAACAUGAGAAGUGUGUCCAGUUUUGGGUCUAGGUUUUUAGAGGUUAGAAACCCAAGUUAGUUGCAAAGAGAAGCUGUUGGAAUGUUCUUUGGAAAAGGAAUAAUUCAUCAUCCAGAUCGUUUAAACCGUUCCAUAGAUGUGAGCUGUUUUUUAUACUUUUUGCUUCUUUGUCUUUAGAGGUUAGGAAUUUCUGAUCAAACAGUUGAUGAAAGACAGUUCUUGAGUUGCUCUAUUCGAAAGGCCCUAAUAGUUCCAACCAUGUGUCGGAUAUAAAUCACAAUAUGCAAAAACUCAUAAAUGUUUCCGUGGUUUGAGCGCUUUUUCCUAUUCUUGCAUCCAUCUCUUUAGAGGU
rnacentral:lncRNA from 1 species